CCGCGACCCCAGGUCAGGCGGGACUACCCGCUGAGUUUAAGCAUAUAAAUAAGCGGAGGANAAGAAACUUACAAGGAUUCCCCUAGUAACGGC
rnacentral:rRNA from 1 species